rnacentral:lncRNA from 1 species
GUAUUUACAAGUGCUGCAUUUCAAGCGCACCGAUUGUCCUCCCCUAGAGUCUGAGUGAAUGGUAUUGUCCGUAAGAACCUGUACAUAGAGAGGGAGAGCGCGAGCGCAGCACGAGAGGACAACGCUCAUCGGCGGGAAUGGCGGAGACCGUUCGCUCGCUCAUCGACUACCGGGAGCCGCCGCAGCUGGACAGCAACGGAGAGAGCAGCAAGCCGCCGCAGACGCGAGGGUGAGGGAGUGAACAGACGCGAGAAAAAAACGUGGCUGUGGAAGGAAAAGGAAAGGGACACCAGUAAAGGUGUGCGACAGAGUCUUUGCUACAGAGGAUGAAGAGGAGAGCAUGUCAGAGAACAGCUAUGGACCAGAGAAAGGUGAUGGUCAUGAGGACAAACACAGAGUGUCUGCUGCUGAUGGACCAUACUAUGAAACACAAUCUGCUCAGCUCUGGUGAGUGAGUGACUGACUGAGUGUGUGUGUGGUCUGAGUAGAGAUACUGCACGUG